CUUAACAAACAGACCGUGAACAUGUCAUCCAUCCCGCACGUGGUUCUACCCGUGCAAGGCCCCCGACCUUUCCGAAGGAGAGGGGCCGCAAAAGAACCCACGGCGCCGAAGGCGUCAAGGAAAACUGAUAUUGCCUUGCUCGGGGCUGUGCUCGGCUUGCCGAGCACACCUCGUGCAGCGAUGCUAUCUUAAUCCACACGACUCUCGGCAACGGAUAUCUCGGCUCUCGCAUCGAUGAAGAACGUAGCAAAAUGCGAUACCUGGUGUGAAUUGCAGAAUCCCGCGAACCAUCGAGUUUUUGAACGCAAGUUGCGCCCGAGGCCUUCUGGUUGAGGGCACGCCUGCCUGGGCGUCACGCCAAAAGACACUCCCAACCCAAACCUGGGGAAGGACGUGGUGUUUGGCUCCCCGUGCUGCAAGGCGCGGUGGGCCGAAGUUUGGGCUGCCGGCAUAACUUGUCGGGCACCGCACGUGGUGGGCGACAUCUAGUUGUUCUCGGUGCAGUGUCUUGGCAUGCAGCUGGCUUAUUGGCCUCAAGGACCCAUACACGACCGAAGCGUUUAGGCGCUCGGACCGCGACCCCAGGUCAGACGGGACUACCCGCUGAGUUUAAGCAUAUCAAUAA
rnacentral:rRNA from 1 species